GCGAUAAAGCUAGCCUAAACUUGACGCUUUCAGUCUAGAAUAAUUUUCUAAAAGCAAAAAAACUAACAUAACCAAACAAAACAUUUUUCCCCCUGAGUACAGGAGAUUGAAAGGGGGCACCCUAAGAGCAAAAGAUAAAGUACCGCAAGGGAAAGCUGAAAGAGAAAUGAAACAACCCUAAAAGCACAGAAAAGCAAAGAUCAAACCUUGUACCUCUUGCAUCAUGAUCAAGCCAGAAAAGCUGACGCAAAAUGCCUUUUAGUGUCACUCCCCGAAACUAAAUGAGCUACCCCGGGGCCGCCCGAAUUGGGGCUGACCCGUCUCUGUGGCAAAAGAGUGGGAUGACCCCCGGGUAGAGGUGACAGACCUACCGAAUUUAGUUAUAGCUGGUUGCCUAAUAAAAGAAUAGAAGUUCAGCCCUUCUUUAGGCCUCAAUUUAAAAUCUUUCUUUAGAUAAAUUAUGAGGAGCCAGAAGGAGUUAAUUGAAGGGGGUACAGCCCCUUCAACAAAAAUACAACUUUUAUAGUAGACUAAAGAUUAUUAGUACUAAGGAAUGUUGAUCACGUGGGCCUAAAAGCAGCCACCCUAGCAGAAAGCGUUACAGCUCCAACAACACCCCCCCCCCACUAUACUUCUAAUUACCUCUAAUUUCACUUUCUUUACUAGGCCAUUUUAUGCUCCCAUAAAAGAGACUAUGCCUGAACGAGUAAUAAGAGAUCCCGACUCUCUCCCCGCGCAAGUGUACACCAGCAUGGACAACCCACUGGUAAUUAACGACCCCUAAACUUAAGGGCACUGACCCCAAAAGUGAAUAACUAGAAAACCCCUCAAGCUCUUCCGUUGACCCAACACAGGUGCGCCCCAAGGAAAGACUAAAAGAGAAGGGAAGGAACUCGGCAACCCAAAGCCCCGCCUGUUUACCAAAAACAUCGCCUCUUGACUAUUAAUAAGAGGUCCCGCCUGCCCUGUGACUAACGUUUAACGGCCGCGGUAUCUUGACCGUGCGAAGGUAGCGCAAUCACUUGUCCUUUAAAUGGGGACCUGUAUGAAUGGCACAACGAGGGCUUAACUGUCUCCCCCCUCCAGUCAAUGAAACUGAUCUCCCCGUGCAGAAGCGGGGAUUAUACUACUAGACGAGAAGACCCUAUGGAGCUUGCAGACCAAAGGCGGCCUGCCAAAAACCCAGUGUAAGCAAGCACUUUAGUUAGGUGGCCCCGCCCUCAGUCUUUGGUUGGGGCGACCGUGGAGUAAUACAAAACCCCCAUGAAUAAAAGGACUACUACGACCCAAAGCCAAGAGCCACAGCUCUAAGCAUCAGAAUAUCUGGCUAUGCAGAUCCGACCCUAAAUGGCCGAUCAACGGACCUAGUUACCCUAGGGAUAACAGCGCAAUCCCCUCUCAGAGCUCCUAUCGACGAGGGGGUUUACGACCUCGAUGUUGGAUCAGGACAUCCUAAUGGUGCAGCCGCUAUUAAGGGUUCGUUUGUUCAACGAUUAAUAGUCCUACGUGAUCUGAGUUCAGACCGGAGAAAUCCAGGUCAGUUUCUAUCUGUAGAGCUUGCUGUCCCUAGUACGAAAGGACCGGAACAGCGGGGCCCAUGCCCAAGGCAAGCCCCACCCACCACCGUGGAAACCAAAUGAAGCGGAUAACGGGAGGGCCCCCCCCCCGCCAAAGAAAAUGGCUU
rnacentral:rRNA from 1 species